CAGGUGAUCUGCCCACCUCAGCCUCCCAAAGUGCUGGGAUGACAUGUGAGCCACUGCAUCCAGCUCGCUGUUCUUUUUUCUAACACUCUGAUUAAGUCUGAACCUUUAACUUUUAUUAUCCUCUGUCUUAAGACAAGAACUAAUGAGGCUGUCCAUGCCAGCAAUUCUCAAACCCAUCAGACCCAAGGCCUCUUUUUAUAUCCUGAGAUAUAAUUAUUUAAAAACUUGCUUAGUCACAUACAUUUUUAAAAAAUCAAUACAAUAUCCUAUUAUAUAAAGGAGAAAAAAAAAAGAAAAAUUUAUGAACAAAUAAGGAACAUUUCAAUAUACAAAUGCUCAGGUACAGUGACAUCAGGAGCUACGUCUAAGUAGUAUCAGUGUGAAUUCAGUAGUUAUACAUGCACACUGAUAUGAGCAGAGACAUUACUGUAUAGUAAAGUUCUAAACAAAACAAAGAACAAUAUCCUCUCAAUUGAAAAGGUAACUGCAUUUCUGAAAAAUUUAGCAUAUAUUUAAUUUCUGUUUAGAUAAAAAAUAUUUUUAGCCCUUUUCCCCCAGCUAGCGCCGCGGGGCCUGCAGGUCUCUGUCGAGCCACGGACGCCGGUCUCUGUUCCGCAGGAUAGGGUUUGUUAAAGUUGUUAAGAAUAAGGCCUACUUUAAGAGAUACCAAGUGAAAUUUAGAAGACGACGAGAGGGUAAAACUGAUUACUAUGCUCAGAAACGCUUGGUGAUAUAGGAUAAAAAUAAAUACAACACACCCAAAUACAGGAUGACAGUUCGUGUAACAAACAGAGAUAUCGUUUGUCAGAUUGCUUAUGCCCAUAUAGAGGGGGAUAUGAUAGUCUGCGCAGCAUAUGCACACGAACUGCCAAAAUAUGGUGUGAAGGUUGGCCUGACAAAUGAUGCUGCACCGUAUUGUCCUGGCCUGCUGCUGGCCCGCAGCCUUCUCAAUAGGUUUGGCAUGGCUAAGAUCUAUGAAGGCCAAGUGGAGGUGACUGGCGAUGAAUACAAGGUGGAAAGCAUUGAUUGUCAGCCAGGUGCCUUUACCUGCUAUUUGGAUGCAGGCCUUGCCAGAACUACCACUGACAAUAAAGUUUUUGGCACCCUGAAGGGAGCUGUGGAUGGAGGCUUGUCUAUCCCUCACAGUACCAAACGAUUCCCUGGUUAUGAUUCUGAAAGCAAGGAAUAUAAUGCAGAAGUACACCGGAAGCGCAUCAUGGGCCCGAAUGUUGCAGAUUACAUGCGCUACUUAAUGGAAGAAGAUGAAGAUGCUUACAAGAAACAGUUCUCUCAAUACAUAAAGAACAGCGUAACUCCAGACAUGAUGGAGAUGUAUAAGAAAGCUCAUGCUGCUAUACGAGAGAAUCCAGUCUAUGAAAAGAAGCCAAGAAGUUAAAAAGAAGAGGUAGAACCGUCCCAAAAUGUCCCUUGCUCAGAAGAAGGAUCGGGUAGCUCAAAAGAAGCCAAGCUUCCUCAGAGCUCAGGAGUGGGGUGCUGAGAGCUAAACCAAACAAUUUUCUAUCAUGAUUUUUCAGAUAUAGGCAAUAAACUUACAGACAGAAAAAAAAUAUAUAUAUUUUUAGAGUCCAGUAAUAUAAACACUUUUUCACCCCCAAAAUGUCAGGUCAGAUGUUCUAAAGUCACAGCCACAAGUGACAAUUCUUCACAGUAUGAGACUAUCCUACGCCUUGCAAGGUAUCUAGUAUCCCUGGCCUUUGUCCUAUUUCAUGUACAUUUCACUUUUUUCCCAUACUAGCUUCUUUCAGUUAAAGUUCUUGAUGUGAUCGUCCACUCAGAUAUCUGCCUCUUUUAAACGGGAGUCAUUUAAAGACUCCAGUUUCUCUCUUUUUUUAAAUUUCUAAAUUUUUCAUUUUUUGAGACAGUCCUGUUCUGUUGACCAG